rnacentral:rRNA from 1 species
CGCCUGUUUAUCAAAAACAUCUUUUCUUGUUAGUUUUUGAAGUAUGGCCUGCCCGCCUACUUUGGUGUUGAAGGGCCGCGGUAUUUUGACCGUGCAAAGGUAGCAUAGUCAUUAGUUCUUUAAUUGUGAUCUGGUAUGAAUGGCUUGACGAGGCAUGGGCUGUCUUAAUUUUGAAUUGUUUAUUGAAUUUGGUCUUUGAGUUAAAAUUCUUAGAUGUUUUUAUGGGACGAGAAGACCCUAUAGAGUUUAACAUUUAUUGUGGUCCUUUUCUGUUUGUGAGGGUUCACUGGGCCGUCUAAUAUGUUUUGUUGGGGUGAUGGGAGGGAUUAAUUUAACCCCUCCUUUUUAUUAUUAUAUUUAUUUAUAUUUACUUGAUCCAUUUAUUUUGAUUGUAAGAUUAAAUUACCUUAGGGAUAACAGCGUAA